AGCGAACGCUGGCGGCAGGCCUAACACAUGCAAGUCGAGCGCCCCGCAAGGGGAGCGGCAGACGGGAGAGUAACACGUGGGAACGUACCCCUUGGUUCGGAACAACCCAAGGAAACUAGGGCUAAUACCGGAUACGUCCGAUAGGAGAAAGAUUUAUCGCCGAGGGAUCGGCUCGCGUCUGAUUAGCUAGUUGGUGGGGUAAUGGUCCACCAAGGCGACGAUCAGUAGCUGGUCUGAGAGGAUGAUCAGCCUGACUGGGACUGAGACACGGCCCAGACUCCUACGGGAGGCAGAAGUGGGGAAUAUUGGACAAUGGGCGCUAGCCUGAUCCAGCCAGGCCGCGUGGGUGAUGGAGGCCCUAGGGUUGUAAAGCACUUUCGGUGGGGAAGAUAAUGACGGUACCCGCAGAAGAAGCCCCGGCUAACUUCGUGCCAGCAGCCGCCGUAAUAC
rnacentral:rRNA from 1 species